GAUUUCUGACGAAACUGCUAGCUGGCCCGCCACGUCAGUGUGUGAGUGCCGGCUUGGCGUUUGUCAUCCGUUCGAACGAUGUGCGCGCUGCCCUUCACUGGGUUGGCGCUGCAUGUUUUCGAUCUUUUACUUUGAAAAAAUUAGAGUGUUUCAAGCAGGCAUUUUUGCUAUGAAUACAUUAGCAUGGAAUAAUAAUCUAGGACUUUCGGUUCUAUUUUGUUGGUGUUCUGGAGCUGAAGUAAUGAUUGAUAGGGAUAGUUGGGGGUGCUAGUAUUCAAUGGCCAGAGGUGAAAUUCUCGGAUUCCUUGAAGACUAACUUAUGCGAAAGCAUU
rnacentral:rRNA from 1 species